AUACGGAGGCUCCGAGCGUUAUCCGGAUUUAUUGGGUUUAAAGGGUGCGCAGGCGGCCAUUUAAGUCAGCGGUUAAAUCGUGGGGCUCAACCCCAUUCUGCCGUUGAUACUGGGUGGCUUGAUUGCGGUCGAGGUUGGCGGAAUUCGUUGUGUAGCGGUGAAAUGCAUAGAUAUGACGAAGAACACCGAUUGCGUAGGCAGCUGACCAGACCGCAAAUGACGCUCAUGCACGAAAGUGCGGGGAUCGAACAGGAUUAGAUACCCUGGUAGUCCGCACAGUAAACGAUGAAUACUUGUUUUCGGCGAUAUAAUGUCGGAGGCAAAGCGAAAGCGAUAAGUAUUCCACCUGGGGAGUACGCCGGCAACGGUGAAACUCAAAGGAAUUGACGGGG
rnacentral:rRNA from 1 species